rnacentral:rRNA from 1 species
UACGAGGGGGGCAAGCGUUGUUCGGAAUUAUUGGGCGUAAAGGGCGCGUAGGCGGUUUGACAAGUCUGAUGUGAAAUCUCUGGGCUCAACCCAGAGUCUGCAUUAGAAACUGUCGGGCUUGAGUAUGGGAGAGGUGAGUGGAAUUUCCGGUGUAGCGGUGAAAUGCGUAGAUAUCACUUGGAACGCCAAUGGUGAAAACAGACUGCUGGGGGUGUGCUGACGCUGAGACACGAAAGCCAGGGGAGCAAACGGG